GAUGAACGCUAGCGGCGGGCUUAAUACAUGCAAGUCGAGGGGUAGCAAUACACCGGCGCACGGGUGCGUAACGCGUAUGCAAUCUACCUUUAUCUGGGGGAUAGCCCGGGGAAACCCGGAUUAAUACCGCAUAAGUAAGUAACUCGGCAUCGAGUAGCUUUGAAAGAUUUAUCGGAUAAAGAUGAGCAUGCGUAAGAUUAGAUAGUUGGCGAGGUAACGGCUCACCAAGUCUACGAUCUUUAGGGGCUCUGAGAGGAGAAUCCCCCACACUGGCACUGAGAUACGGGCCAGACUCCUACGGGAGGCAGCAGUAGGGAAUAUUGGGAAAUGGACGCAAGUCUGACCCAGCCACGCCGCGUGCAGGAAGAAGGCCCUCUGGGUUGUAAACUGCUUUUGACUGGGAAGAAAAGACCUCUUGCGAGAGGAGUUGACGGUACCAGCAGAAUAAGCCACGGCUAACUACGUGCCAGCCGCCGCGGUAAUAC
rnacentral:rRNA from 1 species